rnacentral:rRNA from 1 species
AUGCCGCUUAUUCAGUUGCAGCUUGCAAGUCCUACAAUGAAGCAUACAUCCUUCCUUCAACAAUUUGUCUUCCUGUUUGGUCUUAUCGUCACAACCUUGGUCUCUGGUGAUGAUCAAUUUCUCUUCUCCGGCUUCAGCCAACCCAGCCUAACCCUGGACGGAUGUGCCAUGGUCACAGAUGGUGGCCUUCUUGAUCUGUCCAAUGGCACGACUGUUCUCAAGGGCCAUGCCUUCUAUCCCACUCCUCUGCACUUCCGCAAGUCACCCGGUGGUAAAGUUCAAUCCUUCGCAGUCCAUGUAGUCUUCAGCAUCUUCAUCUCUUACGCAGACUUGAGCGCUGAUGGCAUGGCUUUCUUCAUUGCACCCACAAAGAAUUUCUCUGAUGCACGGGCAGCAAAGUACUUUGCCCUCCUCAACGAGAAGAACAAUGGCGACACAAGCAAUCACAUCUUCAUGAUCGAACUUGACACCUACAGAAAUUCUGAGCUCCAAGACAUUGAUGAAAAUCACAUUGGUAUCAAUAUCAACAGUGCAGUCUCCAUGCAAUCCAGUGCAUCUGGCUUCUACGAAGACAAGGGUGGUGCCUUCAAGAACAUGACGCUGAAUGGCAACCAGGCUAUGCAGCUCUGGGUAGACUACAAUGAGGGUGAUACGCAGAUCAAUGUGACCUUGGCUCCGAUCAACGUGGGAAAACCAUCAAGGCCACUGCUCUCUGCAACCUAUGAUCUCACAACUGUACUCUCGGACUCAGCUCAGUACAUUGGAUUCUCAUCCAUGGCUACUCCCAUCAACACCCGUCAGUACGUGAUGGGUUGGAGCUUUGGCAUGAAUAAACCAGCUCUAUCCAUUGACAUCUCCAAGCUUCCGAAGUUGCCUCGUGUUGGUCCCAAGGCCCAAUCCAAGCUCUUGGUGAUCGUCCUACCAAUAGCCACUGCAACAUUGAUCCUCUCUAUGGGCACUCUUGUCACUCUAGUUGUGCGAAGGCGACUGAAGUAUGCUGAGGUGCGUGAGGAUUGGGAGGGAGAAUUCGGUCUGCAUCGGUUCUCCUACAAGGAUCUGUUCCAUGCUACGAGAGGGUUCAAGAACAAACACCUACUUGGAGAAGGAGGUUUCGGGAAAGUAUAUAAAGGAGUGCUUCCAUCGUGUAAUGUGGAGAUUGCUGUGAAGAGGAUGUCUCAUGAGUCAAGACAGGGCAUGAAAGAAUUUGUCACCGAGGUUGUUAGCAUUGGUCGACUCCGACAUCGCAACGUUGUGCAAUUACUUGGCUAUUGUCGGAGAAAAGGUGAACUGUUUUUGGUUUAUACUUACAUGCCAAAUGGUAGCCUUGAUAAAUAUCUACAUUGUGAAGAGCAGAAUGCCAUUUUGAAUUGGGUUCAAAGGUUUCGAGUUAUCAAAGGCAUUGCUACCGGCUUACUCUAUCUCCAUGAGAAGUGGGAGAAAAUUGUAAUCCAUAGAGACAUCAAAGCAAGCAAUAUACUGCUGGAUGGUGAAAUGAAUGCGCGACUUGGUGACUUUGGCCUUGCAAGGUUAUAUGAUCAUGGCACUGACCCACAGACCACACAUAUGGUUGGUACCAAGGGGUACCUAGCCCCCGAGCUACUGCGGACAGGGAAGGCAUCCCCUCAUACAGAUGUUUUUGCCUUCGGCAUGUUCCUUCUCGAGGUUGCUUGCGGUCAAAAACCUGUCAAGAGAAAUGCAGAGGGAAAUGAAGUUUUCUUGGUAGAAUGGGUACUCGAGCAUUGGAACAAUGGGUUGCUUAUUGAGACAGUGGAUGCUAUCCUCCAGGGUGAUUACAACAUUGAUGAGGCAUACCUCGUGUUAAAGCUGGGACUUUUGUGCUUGCACCCAUUUCCUAGUUCGAGGCCCAGGAUGCGGCAAGUUAUGCAAUACCUCGACGGUGAGAUGCCACUGCCCGAGCUGAGGAAGACGGAGCUGAGCGUGAACAUGGCGGCCUUGGUGAAAAGCAAUGGACCGAACUCGGUCACCUUGUCAUACCCGCAGAUCACAUCGAGCUUCUGCACGAUAUCUGGCCUCUCAGGAGGAAGAUGA